rnacentral:rRNA from 1 species
AUAUCAAUAAGCGGAGGAAAAGAAACCAACAGGGAUUGCCCCAGUAACGGCGAGUGAAGCGGCAACAGCUCAAAUUUGAAAUCUGGCCCCUAGGGUCCGAGUUGUAAUUUGCAGAGGAUGCUUUUGACAAGGUGCCUUCCGAGUUCCCUGGAACGGGACGCCAUAGAGGGUGAGAGCCCCGUCUGGUCGGAUACCGCGUCUCUGUAAAGCUCCUUCGACGAGUCGAGUAGUUUGGGAAUGCUGCUCAAAAUGGGAGGUAUAUGUCUUCUAAAGCUAAAUAUUGGCCAGAGACCGAUAGCGCACAAGUAGAGUGAUCGAAAGAUGAAAAGCACUUUGAAAAGAGGGUUAAAAAGUACGUGAAAUUGUUGAAAGGGAAGCGCCUAUGACCAGACUUGGGCCCGGUGAAUCAUCCAGCGUUCUCGCUGGUGCACUUUGCCGGGCACAGGCCAGCAUCAGUUUGGCUUGGGGGAAAAAGGCUUUGGGAAUGUAGCUCCUCGGAGUGUUAUAGACCUUUGCAUAAUACCCUGGGCCGGACUGAGGUUCGCGCAUCUGCAAGGAUGCUGGCGUAAUGGUCAUCAGCGA